CUCUUUAGGGCGGGGUGUGAUUCCCCACCGGCGGUAUAGCCCGCGAGCCCCCUGGGGCAUGAUUCGGUGAGACUCCGAGGCCGACAGUAUAGUCUGGAUGAGAAAAGA
rnacentral:ncRNA from 1 species